GCCCGCGGGCCCAGAGCUGACUCCGCGCCAGGCCGGUGGGGGCCGCCUGGGAAGCGCCAGCCCCCACGUGACAGCCGCUCUGGCCGGCGGCCACCGGGCCCUCCUGUGAGCAGCCUUGUCCGGGAGGGAGGCGGGGCCUGGGCGUGGGUGGGGCCCCCAGGGAGCCCGUGCCAGGUCCGCCGCCCUGGGGGUGGGGGCGUCCCUGAGGAGGGGCCCAGGAGCGCCUCAUUCUCCCCUCCCUUCCUUCCUCACACCCUCCCUCCCCUCACCCUCCCUCUGUGUCUCUCCCUCUCCUGUUCCCUUUCAGUCUCCCUGCUCUCUCCAUCCCUCCUUCCUCUGACCCCCACGUCCCUCCCCCAGGACCUGCCUGGGCACUGGGUGGGGGAGGGGAAGUGCCCACUGCCCCCCACACCCCUCCCCCAGGACCUGCCUGGACCACUGGGUGGGGGAGUGCCCACUGCCCCCCACACCCCUCCCCCCAGGACCUGCCUGGGCACUGGGUGGGGGAGUGCCCACUGUCCCCCCCCACCCCUCCCUCAGGACCUGCCUGGACCACUGGGUGGGUGGGGGGUGCCCCUUUUGCACACAAGCCCCCUGUCUGCUUCAGAAGAGGAGCCGGUGGAGGGGGCCUGGGGCUGCUGUGCCCCGCCCCUCCCCUCCCCCACCAGCCCCACCCCACAGCCUCCGACUGCUGCUCGGGGUCCCAGCCGCUUGCUCCUGGCCCCGGGAGAGCAGGGAGCCAGGCUGGUGGUCUCAGCCGCGUUCCUGGCCCAGCCGGCUGGGGGGGCGGCCCCUUGCUUGCUGGGCCCUCCAUCGGUCGGGCUCCCUCCAAGAGCCACCUGCUCCAGCCCCUCCCCUGCAGCGGGCUGGUCUCAGAGCCCCGGGCAGCCGCCCCGUGUCCCCGCUUCAAGGAGUCAUUUUCCUCCUAAGUACCAGAGUCCUGCUGAGGCCCGCGGCCCGAGCCAGGUGUCUGGGCGCUUCACUUACUGGGGCGUUGGGAACAUACGCUAGCCGGUUGGUAAAGACCAGCUGGUGCGGGGCUCGGGAGUCCAAGG
rnacentral:lncRNA from 1 species